rnacentral:rRNA from 1 species
UACGUAGGGUGCAAGCGUUAUCCGGAAUCACUGGGCGUAAAGAGCUCGUAGGCGGUUGGGUAAGUCGCGUGUUAAAGACCAGAGCUUAACUUUGGGAAUGUGCGCGAUACUGCCCGGCUAGAGAAUGGGAGAGGAAUGUGGAAUUCCUGGUGUAGCGGUGAAAUGCAUAGAUAUCAGGAAGAACACCUGUGGCGAAGGCGGCAUUCUAGACCACUUCUGACGCUGAGGAGCGAAAGCCAGGGGAG